rnacentral:rRNA from 1 species
GUGGGGAAUAUUGGACAAUGGGGGGAACCCUGAUCCAGCCAUGCCGCGUGUGUGAAGAAGGCCUUUUGGUUGUAAAGCACUUUAAGCGAGGAGGAGGCUACCGAGAUUAAUACUCUUGGAUAGUGGACGUUACUCGCAGAAUAAGCACCGGCUAACUCUGUACCAGCAGCCGCGGUAAUACAGAGGGUGCAAGCGUUAAUCGGAUUUACUGGGCGUAAAGCGCGCGUAGGUGGCCAAUUAAGUCAAAUGUGAAAUCCCCGAGCUUAACUUGGGAAUUGCAUUCGAUACUGGUUGGCUAGAGUAUGGGAGAGGAUGGUAGAAUUCCAGGUGUAGCGGUGAAAUGCGUAGAGAUCUGGAGGAAUACCGAUGGCGAAGGCAGCCAUCUGGCCUAAUACUGACACUGAGGUGCGAAAGCAUGGGGAGCAAACAGGAUUAGAUACCCCUGUAGUCC